AGCGCUCCGGUGCCGGUGUCUGACCGGGCUGCCCACAAGCAGUACGGGCAGGAGCAGCCUCUGAGCCACGGGCUGACUUUCGGGCUUGCUAAUUAAACGGAGACGUGUGUCAGCUGCCGCCUCCAGCUGCGGGCAUCGCGCCGCAGAAGAAGCGCUGGGCCAAGCUCUGCCAUGGACACGAGUGCUGCAGGUGGUGCCGGUAGGUCUGGGCUCUCCUGGCUGCUGGGCACGAGUUACUGCCCGUGAAUCAAACGAGCCCUGCUCUGUCACCAGCAGUCAGCAGCCGCCUUGCACCUCAGACAGGCCCCGAUCUCACCUAAGAGGGGCUUGCCAGAUGCUUGACUUUGUUUUCAGUGGAACUAUUCAGAGUGUAUUAUGUGAAGCACACACAACAAUCCAAGAGACUUCAGUCAGGAAGUCUUAAUGCACUAAAGACGUAAGCGAAGAAGUGAAAUCGCCAGUGAUCAAAUCAAUUACACUUCAAAUCAGACUGUGGCAGGGCUUUUUGGUUCUCAACCAGAUGGAACUAGACUUCUUGUGAAGGAGGUGUCUGCCCAGCUACCCAAUCACUCCUUGAGGACUGGCUAGAGCCCAGUUACCCUGUCCAUCCUUGUGUUCAGCGUGUCAUAUGAACCACUGGGGUAGCAAAUCUGUGUUCAUUCUUGAUUGCCUUCUCUGGUGUCAUUAGAGCUUUGAUUCUUUUGCCAUAACUCUUACAGACACUUUUCAGUUUUUUUAAUUAAACUGUCUAUGUCUGCUGUGGUAUUUUGUGCAAUGCCUGGUCCUGUAGGCCUGUGUGAGAUGAGCAGUUGCCAGGCUUGCUCCCUCAGGGAAUGUAGGGGAAGAAUUGCCAAGUCUGUGGAUUCAGGCUGGCUUUAGGACUGAGAUAGGUGUAGAGCUGUGCAGGUUCACUGAGUCUCAAACAGUCCUAGGCAUGUAUAGGAGUUCAGGCACCUGAGGUCCAUGAUUUCAGGAAAGCAUAGCUGUGCAUAGGCUUUAGCUGCCUGAGGAAUCAGGAAAGAGAGGCAGGGAUUGAGGAGCAUGUGCUUGGGCUUUGCUGUUUGCAUUGGACACAAGGCCAACUGUGGGUGCUUAGGCCUUUACUGCAGCCAGCACUUCUUUGCAACUGUUCACCCUUCUUUUAAUUGGAAAUUAUUCUCAGUUUU